rnacentral:sRNA from 1 species
UGUAUCAGUGCAAGGACCAGGUGCAG